AUAUUGUUGUAGUAGUUGUGGAUGAUAUGAUAUUAUGAUGAAGUUGUGUUUGAUUAUUUCUAGUAUUUGAAUGGUGUAGUAGAUGUUGAUGAUGAAUUGUGUUCUUGUGUAAUUGGGUUGGUGAUGGUGGUUAGUGUGUAUUGCUGAGUGUUGAAAUGAUGAACAGUAAAUUGAAGAUGUUGAAAUUAUAUUUUUAUGACCGACCUAGAGGCAUAGCUAUCUGUAGUUCUGAAGUUGUUUCGAGUCAUGAGCCUAACCCCAAGUGAUUUUCAAUGUGUUGAGUGUUGACUGUUGAGCCAGUAUAGGAUUUUGCAUAGAUGUUAUCAUGCCAGUAUAGGAUUUUGCAUAGAUGUUUUCUCUUGUUACUUUGAAAUGUUCGAAUGAAAAAUGAAUUUUUCUAUUUCUUUGUGGCAUUGGAGGUAUAGUUACUUUGAAAAGAUGAAACUGUUUGAACCCCUGCCUUGCCCUGUUGCUUAAGCUUAUAUGUGUGGUUUCUUGAAAAGCUUAAAAUUAGUUGUAAUGGUGGUUUGAUUUUGUGAGCGACAUGCACUUUGGGAUAGUCAAUGCCACACUGACAUUGGUUCUUUUGCUGAUUUGGGGAGCCGUAAGCAUUUUUGGGGUUAAGAGGAAGCUCAAUAUUCAUUUUUGCUGAUCACAUGGUGUUAUGUAGACUUAGAAUUUCAACCCUAUGUAUAUAAUUUUGUUUUAAGGAACUUAUACUCUUAUUAUUUGCCUUCUAAUAAUCACUUGGAUAGAUCAUUGUUUCUCUUAAAUGAAAUAUUAUCUAUUUGACCGAUCACUUUCUGGUUUAGGGGUGUAUUAAAUACCAGGAUAUGAGAUUUCUUGACCGUUGGUUAAUAUGUUUCACUUUUUGAGUUGUGCUGCACUCCCCUGUGAAUCCUUCUUGAUGUUAUGAAAGCAAUUAGUUGGAAAUGGUGUGGCCAGAAAGAGGUUCAUUUUUACAUGCUGUUAGAAUUUCCUGGGGUUCAGUGGAUAUGAUGAAAGAGUUCAGUAUUCAUGGGUUUUUUCCCUGUGAUAAAAGGGUGUGGGUGUACUGUUUAACACCUAUCCUCCAUUUUUUACUUUUUUUCUGUGCAUCUGAUUUUCUGUUCUUUGAUUUCUACUGUGUCCAUGUUUAUUGCUCUGUAACAUAAAUUACACUGACUUUGCUAUGGUUGUCUAAGUGUUCAUAGCUGCUUGUCAGUAUUUAUUGUUGUGUUUUGGUGAUCAUUUCCUGGACUGAAGUUCUCGUCUGAAGGGGGAACGUAACUUUAGGUAUGAUGAACCUGAUUUUAUCAGUGAGCCUUGCUUGAAAUGAGUUAGAUCCUUUAUUUAUACAUCUGUAUGGACGUAUUACAUGGUCAUAUGGCACAGUGUAUUGCUAGUUUGAGUGUCAGUGAUGAUGUUCUACAAAAGAUUUCUUGGAGCUUCAUUGGUAUAUAUUAGGGCUUGCUUGGCUGAAUGUUAUGAACUUAUAAAUUAUCUUGGCUCGGGUAGGGACGAUGUUUACAACUAAUUUUAAAGUAUUCAAUUUGCUUGGCUGAAUAUUAUUUUAGAUUGAUCACAUACAAAAAUCUGGUUAUUAAUUGUUUGUAGUUAUAUCUUAUUUUAUAAAAUUUUCAAUAUAUUUUACAAGGGAAACGGAGUGGAACGAAAUUUCGAUAUACGUAGGGAGGCAGGAGGCCGAUCAUUUUAGUCAUGUUCAAAGAAAUUAUACUACUACUGUGACAGAAAACUACCUUGAAAUACAUCUUUUCUGGGCUGGAAAGGGAACCUACUGCAUACCAAACCAGGGAACAUAUAGGCCAUUAAUUUCAACUCUCAGUGUUACUCUAUGUAAUCUAAUGUUCACAUAAUUCAAUAAUACUUUUAUUAUUAGGUCAUAUUUCUGUUUAUUUAGUAACCGACUACCUGUUACUCAGUGUUUCAACCAAGGUUCUCAAGCCCAACAACAAACACUUGUAACAUUGCUGUAAUUGUUGUUCCUGUUAGGGUCAUUUCCCUUCUUUCUUUUGGUGCAUGUUGGUUUUUUCAAAGAAGAAAGAGAUCGCGUUCAGGAGAAGAUGGUAUGCCUAAUAGAACAUGAAAUUUAUACAAAUGCGAUAUCUCUUCCAGUUACUAAUGCAGUCAUACAUUUCAACAUAAAAGAAGUAACGGGAAAUUUCUGGAGUAAUAUGUUUUCAAGUUCAAGAGUCCGAAUGUAGCUUUUAGGCAACGAUGCCAAACCAUACACUUUCAGUUAUGCUGAAUUGAGGUUAGCUACUGGAGAUUUUGACCCUUCAAACAAGCUUGGCGAAGGAGGCUUUACCAUCCAGAAGUUCCUACUGCAGUUCCUACAACAGAGCCUACAGAGCCUGCAAAGGAGGGGCCUGCAAAUCCUACAAGAGUAUCUACAGUGCCUACGACAGUCCCUAUGGAGUCUACAACAGAACCUAUGGAGCAUAGAACAGUACCUACGGCGCCUACACCAGUCUCUACAGUGCCUACAGAACAACCUACACCAAUCGAAUAUAUUCGAAGUCCUAGAGCAGAAACAUAUCUGACUCAAGAUGGAACUAGGGAAUGGAUUCCAUAUUGUGUUGAAGAUAAGAAACCACGUGAAGGAAUGGUAUUCAAAACUUUAGAAAAGGCUAUCGAAUUUUAUAAGGAGUAUGCUGUAAUAUGUGGUUUUGACGUUCGUUCAGCUACGGUAUACAAGAAUAGCAAAGGUAUCAUUCAAAAGUAUUAUCUUUGUAGUAGAGAAGGUAUCUUAGAAUCCGAAGGUAAUUAUGAUGAAAAAGGGAAGCGACGCCGUAAAAGAAACUCAAAGCGAGUUGGUUGCAAGGCUAGAAUCAUUUGGAAUCUUAUCAAUGAAGAUGGAGAAUACAAAGUUACCAAAUUUUUUGAGCCUCAUAACCAUUGCCUAGCCUCUCCUACAUCCAUGCCAUAUUUGAGAAGUUCAAGGAAAAUGACGAUGGUUCACAAGAAUUUUGUGAAUAAUAAUACAAGAAUGAACAUUGGACCAACGAAAUCUUUUCGGCUAUUUAAGGAAAAUGUAGGUAGUUACGACAAUGUUGGAGCCACAAUGAAAGACUUUAUGAACUUUCAUAGAGAUUUGAAGGAGCACAUCAAGGGUGAUGAUGCUAAGAUGUUAAUUGAGAAUUUUAUACGAAAAAGAGAUGUUUUCAAUGGGUUCUACUUUGAUUAUGCCCUAGAUGAACAUGAUCAUGUUUCCCAUCUGUUUUGGGCGGAUGCAACUAGCCGUAAAAAUUAUUCAUUGUUUGGAGAGAUGAUAUCCUUUGAUUGCACCUACGACUCCAACACAUACUCAAUGGUUUUAGCUCCUUUCACCGGAGUAGACCAUCACAAGUCUUGCAUAACAUUUGGGGUUGGUUUACUUUCUAAAGAAGAUGCUCAAUCAUUUGAAUGGCUUUUUAGGACUUUCCUUAAUGCUAUGGGAAAUUGUGAGCCUAGAUAUUUGAUAACCGAUCAAGAUCCGGCAAUGAAAGUUGCCAUAAAUGAGGUGUUUGUUAACACUCGCCACCGACUUUGUUUGUGGCAUAUAAUGAAAAAAGUUCCUGAAAAAGUAGGCCCUGAGCUCAAACAAGAUGAAGAUUUUCUUAAGUUGUUAAAUGAGUGUGUGUGGGACAUGGAACAAGAAUCCGAGGAAUUUGAAGCUACUUGGAACUCGCUUAUGGUUCAAUAUAACCUUGUGGAGAAUGGUUGGUUCCAACAUAUGUUUUCAAUAAGAGAACAUUGGAUACCAUGCUACUUUAGAGAUCUCAGGUUAGGAGGCAUUUUAAGAACUACCUCUAGAUCAGAAAGUGAGAAUAGUUUUUUCAAUAAUUUCACCAAUCCGCAUGUGACACUUGUAGAAUUCUACAUGCGUUUUGAAAGUGCAAUGGAUGCACAAAGGCACAAGCAAGAUAAGCUAAAUACAGAAUCCAUUCACUCUGUUCCUCAAUUUAUAACUCCAUUGCCUUUGGAGAAACAUGCAGCUGAGGUGUAUACCAGAAAAAUGUUCUACAUGUUCCAGGAUGAGGUGUACAAGGCUUGUUUCAGAUGUGGGAUUAGAUCUAUUAGAAUGGAAGAAAAUAUUGAAAUCGCACAAGUCAUGGACCAUUCUCGACAGAAAACAAGUAAGGUAACAUUUAAUUCUGGAAAUCUCAUGACAUCAUGUUCUUGCAAAUUGUUUGAGAGAUUGGGGAUUUUAUGUAAACAUGCAAUAUGUGUUUUAAAUGCAAGACAAGUUACAAAGAUUCCAGAGUACUACAUUCUUGAUCGAUGGACAAAAGAGGCAACCAAAAGGCCAAUUUUUGAUAUGCAUGGUAACUUCCUUGAAGAAUGUAGGAAGAUGAACACAACAACUAAAAUGUUAGGGGAAGUCUGGUCGGAGAUUUUUAACUGUGUAGGCCUUGCAGAGGGAAAUGAGGAAAAUUUGCAACAAUUUCUCGAUAAUCUUAGAGAUUUUAGUAAGAAUUUGGUAGAAAAAGGAAAGUGUGUGCCAAUGACAAAAACUCAAGAGAUGGAGCUUUUUGUUGGUCCUAGUGCGUCUUCUAACCUCAAUAUCCAAAAUCCAAUACCAUCAAAGAAUAAAGGCAAGAGACAUAGAAUAGUAGGAGAAAAGGAGGCAGCAAUUGAGCAAAGUCAGAAACCCAAAAGAAAAUGUAAAGCUUGUGGGGCAUAUGAUUAUCACGACAGUCGUAACUGCCCGAACAAAACUACAACCUAAGCAAGCCUACUAGAUGAUAGGGUAACCUUGUUUUCACAAUGCCCCAACUUACAAACCCCUCUCAAAUCUCCUGUCUGGUUUAAUCUGAUGCCACAACAUCAACAUCAACAUCAACAUCACAGGUAACUAGGAAUCUAGAAGCAGUGGACAUAUUUAGGCACGUAGAUGAUCGUCAAGAAGCUGCUGAAUGCUUAGCAAGGGAAGCUUUGGGAAGAAUGAGCAAAAGCAACAUAAACAUUUCCUGCUUAGUUAUUCUUUUUGAGUACAAUUUUGUACAUUUUGGAACGUAUUUAAGUGUAACAACUAAUUAUUGUGGAAUACAAUUGGCACUGGAAACAAAUGAGAAAAUAUUUUUGCUGUGUUUA